GACGAACGCUGGCGGCGUGCUUAACACAUGCAAGUCGAACGGAAAGGCCCUGCCUUUGUGGGGUGCUCGAGUGGCGAACGGGUGAGUAACACGCGAGUAACCUGCCCUUGACUUUGGGAUAACUUCAGGAAACUGGGGCUAAUACCGGAUAGGAGCUCCUGCUGCAUGGUGGGGGUUGGAAAGUUUCGGCGGUUGGGGAUGGACUCGCGGCUUAUCAGCUUGUUGGUGGGGUAGUGGCUUACCAAGGCUUUGACGGGUAGCCGGCCUGAGAGGGUGACCGGCCACAUUGGGACUGAGAUACGGCCCAGACUCCUACGGGAGGCAGCAGUGGGGAAUAUUGCACAAUGGGCGGAAGCCUGAUGCAGCAACGCCGCGUGCGGGAUGACGGCCUUCGGGUUGUAAACCGCUUUCGCCUGUGACGAAGCGUGAGUGACGGUAAUGGGUAAAGAAGCACCGGCUAACUACGUG
rnacentral:rRNA from 1 species